rnacentral:lncRNA from 1 species
UGCCAUCAAAAACUUUUUUCCUUAUGAUUUGAUUUAAUUUUGAGUUUUUCUUUUUUCAAUUUCUGAUGAGAAGGCUUGAAUUCAUGAAUUUCCCAGGUUAGUAUGAAUAAUCACUUGCAUGUUUACUUUUUGCCGUGAAGUAUACUCAAAAUAAUCAAUUAAAAAUUAUGGCUUAAAUCAUGAAACAACCUAUUUUAAUUUUAGUUCCCCUUCUAAAAUUCAAUUUCGACAAUGGUGUCAGGGAAGGUGCUACUGCUGGUAAAAGAAUCUCAUAAUUUUCAUAUGAUUUCUUUAUUUUUCUUUAACUUUUCCAAUUGUUUUAUGAAAUAUUUUAAAUUGUGGUGGUUAAGCAUCGUACUUUCUGUAGUAUUCUACAAAAUAGGCAGUAAAUGACUGCUUGGAUUUUGAGAAGUGAUAGUAAAAGUGAAAAGAAGAGGAGUGUACUGAUAGUUUUGGAGAGUUUCACCCGUAACAGUGACAGUGGGGAUAACGGUGCUGAUUGAAAAUUAUAACCAAAUGUGAUUUUGAUUAUGUAUUUGCAGACAAGAAGGAAGGGGUGGUGAUGUCCGAUGAUGGUGGGUAGAAGAUUGAGAAAAUGGAAGAGAGAUGACUUUUCUGGAUUUCUCUUUUUGGAAAAAAUGGGAUGG